rfam:Schistosoma curassoni strain Dakar, Senegal genome assembly, scaffold: SCTD_scaffold0000433
CGCUGCUGAGGAGUCCCACAACAGGACGAUACGGUCGUCUAGGGC